rnacentral:lncRNA from 1 species
UUUACUUCACCAUUGAUGAAAUUGUGGCCAUUUUCACUGCUGAGUUUCUUAGAUGAAUCAGAGUGUUUUCUUGUUGUAACUUGUAUUAUGCAGGUACAUAGUAUUUUCUUUUUCUUUUUUUCUUCUUUAUAGAGGGGUUUUGUAUUCUUCCGUCUUCCCCUAGUCCACCUUUCUUGUGUUCAUUCUUUUUCAUGUCUAUUCAUUCUAUUUUCUUCAGAACAUUAUUGUCCUCUUUACAUGUUUUAAGAUUUAUUGUUGUAAAAUGUAUUUUUAUUCAAUUAUUACAGAGUUUUGCUGAACCAUAAAAACAAGUGCUCCAUUUUCUGAUUCAGUUGAUUUGAAGCUUCUAAGGGUAAUCCGGUAUACUAAGCUCUCACAACUUGUAACUUGUAUGAUGCAGGUACAUAGUAUUUUCUUUUCAUUUUUCUUUUUCUUAUUUAUUGAGGGGUUUUGUAUUCUUCCUCCUUCCCCUAGUCCACCUUUCUGGUGUUCAUUCUUUUUCAUGUCUAUUCAUUCUAUUUUCUUCAAAAGAUUAUUGUCCUCUUUAGAUGUUGUAAGGUUUUAUUGUUGUAAAAGGUAUUAUUAUUCAAUUUUUACGAGUUUUGCUGAAC